GUAGCAAGCCGAAUGUCGUUCAGCCGGCCGUAGGUCGGUCGGCAAGUCGUGGAUGCGACUAAGGUCGCGUCGUGCGAUAGACGGUGGUCAGCCGAAUAUCCCUCGACCGGCCGUAGCCUGGUCGGAAAUCGCGACGACAGUCGCGUGGGCUUUUAGCCUCUCUUUGGUCGGGGCCCGAUCGGCCUGUCGGCCGAUGGUUCGGCCCGAAAAUUCGACCGUAGAAGUAUGAACUCCCGUCGCAACAGAUGCAUCGGCCUUUGUCAAGGGCGGAUGUGUUGCCGAAAGUCGAAGGAGUGCAACUCCCGUUAAUAUGGAUACAUCGGUCCUGGUAAGGGUCCGAUUUAUCAUUGAUUGUCGAAGGAGUGCCAACUCCCGUUCUUGUAGAUGCGUCGGUCCUCGCAAGAGUCCGAUGCGAUACCGAUGAUGAGGUCGUCGGUUUUAGGUGGAUGCUAGGUCCACGUCGAUACGUUGGGGCUGAGCGCCGAUCAUUAGUCGAAGAGUCAAGACUCCGAGAUUUCAAACUGAAUUUGUAUUCCGACUACUGAAUUACAGAAUUCACUGGUAGUACAGCUUCAAGUUGUCGGCAUUCCAAGUCCGGGGAAUGGGCUUCCCCUC
rnacentral:lncRNA from 1 species